GAUAAAAAAGAGAAUAAAUUAGUAAAACAAGGAGAAAAUGGCAAAUCAAUCCAGGAGAUCUAACUUCUGACUAACAGAAUUACAGAAUCCAAAGCAGGGAGGCGACAGAGAGAGAGAAAAUUAUCAGAGAAAUAAUCCAAGAAAACUUCCCAGACUUGAAGGAUAUUACCUCAUUGAAAGUCUCACUGAGUAAAUAAUCAAAUGAAUGAAAACAAAACAAAACAAAACACCUGAAAUGUAUCAUUGCGAAUAUUUUCUGGGGGAGAAUAGAUAAAAUGCAAGGAAUCAAGAAUCAGAAUAACACUGGGUUUCCAUAGCAAUUAUUGAAGCUAGAAGACAAUGAAGCUGGAAGAAUUUUCCUCAAAACUUUGAGGGAAAAAAGUUUUUAGCUUGUAUUUAAUAUACUGCUGAGCAAUCAAUCAAAUAUAAGAGUAAACUAACAAUCCAGGUGUAGAGUCUCUGGAAAAUUUGUCUCAAGUUGAUCUGUCAUGCAUUCAUCAUCAACUUUACUGAAAGCAUUCCACCAAGACAAGAGAGUAAGCCAAAGGACAGAAAGAUUGGAGCUUUACCAUCAAAAAAGCCAAGAAGGAACCCCCAGGCUGAUAGUUACACAGCAGGCUUAGAAAGCAACCAGUUUCCACUGGGGCAGAACAUUGAGGACUCUAGAAAUGUUGUCCCUGGAGAAGAGACAGGAGAGGGGGAGGGAAGGGAGCAGAUGAGAAACCAAGAGAACACCUGGUAUGGUUAACCUAAAGGAAAGCAGUGUUCAUCAUUCUUGAGAUGAGUUUGGGAAGAAUUAUGAAUAGAAAGAAAGAAAACUAAGCAAAUAGAAAUGCAAUGACUAACUUUGAUAAGAGCAAAAAUUUUUACAAGGAAGGAGGUGUACUAAAAGAGUCAGAGGUAAAUAGAACUUUUGUAGUCCCCUUUGUGACAAAGUCACAAGACUUUGUCCCGUUCACUGCUACAAUCCAGCAAGAGUCAAGUGCUCACACUGGUAGACCUAGGACUAUAGGGGCAAUCUCUAGAAAACAGAGCUUCCUAGGAGAUAUACACACAGAGGGGUGUGCUGUUGGGAAAGCCAGCGAGAUGUCCCUCUCAGAGAAGGGGUAGCCACUUCAGAGGUUCUCUUGUAGAGACAUUGGACCAGAGGAGCCUGAUGAUCCCGUCCAGUUCUCAGAUCCUAUGGUCAGUCCUGAGGACAGAACAAAAGAGAAUGUUGUACUUCUCCAUAAAAGCAGGGUAUGAGAGGAUGAUGCUUUUAUCACCAGCUGGACUAAACUUUGCAAUGCGUAAUGGAGGAAAGUUAAAAUAUCUUCCUGGCAAUGCUUUGAACUCAAUUUCAAGUAUUGAACCUGGCUCAAGUCUUACUGCAUGGGUUUGGCUUAAUUCAUCCGUGAGUCUUACUUGCCUCUGUAUCCUGCAAGCCUCACUUGGAACCUAGAACCCAGGGCAUCUUUAAGGUGACCAGCUGAAUGCCAUGAAGUUCUGAGAUUAGUUUUCUCCUGGAGAGGACUCUCAUAAGGAAAUGCGUGUCAUUUUUUCCAGGUUUAGUAUGAGAGGAGAGAGAAGAAAACUAAAGCAAAUGUCCAGAAGUGUGUCAGGCAGUAUAUUAAGGAUUUCCCUUGUUUGGUUUUAGAAAGGGAGGCACCAUUUCAUUACUCUGGCUUCUCAUUGGCCCCAUGUAUUACACAUGGUGUGUAAAGAGAAACGCCAUGUAACUCAACAAAAUACUCCAAUAUUUUUAAGGAUUCUGUGGAUUUCUUAUAGAAAACCUUAAAUUAUAAAAGUUUAUAGUUUGCAGAUUUUCCAACUCAAACUAUAAACAGCCUUUGUGUUAAAAUAUUUUUUAUAUGAAACAUAUGCUCUCAGCCCUAAUUGGCACAAAUAGGAAAAUUGAUAUAUUCAGGUCUUCAGUGCUUAAAUUAUCACAUUCCUAGACCAGAGAGACAGAGAGGGAGAAAUUGGGGGGGGGGGGGGGAACUGGAGGAAUGAAAUCUUGUUUUAUCUUUUGGAUACCUGGCGUUUUCUGUAACAGCCCAUCAGGGUGCUGUGUCAAAGACACUGAUGAGAGGUUUCCCAAAGUUAAUUUUUCUCAUAAUACAAUAACCAAAUUUGUUUUAACACUUGAAAAGGCCCAUCCAUACUAAAAAGAAUCAGUUGCUUAAUCCUAAAAUUAAAGGUUAUUGCAUGCAAGAGAAAAUAAUUACAUGCUCAAAGUAUGGAAAAAAGAAAACUUUUUUUAAUAUGUAGGUAUUUGUAUAAUUAAAGACUAAUCAAGCAUGAAGGGCUGCUGACUAAACCAGAAAAUGAGAUUGUUGGCAAGCAAUAUUGUAAUGUAAAUGCCAUUUUUGUUUAACUACUAAGAAGCUGGAGAAAUGAUAUCCUGAACAGAUUAAAAGCAAACAGCAUUGAUAAUAAAUAUUUAUCAGAUUUCAAAUGCAACACAGAGGAUUUUUAUAUUUCAUGUGCAAGAUUGGCUUGCGGGGAUGUUUCCAGGUACUUUUCAAGGGAGUAGUUAAUGUCCUUAUUUAGAAUUGCAUUUCCCGAUAGGAUCUUCGUUGUCUGUGAGAGGACCUGUGAAGUAGGAGCCAAGGCCAAGUGUCCCUCAGUGCCAUUGUUUACCAAUUAAGAUUUUGUUGAUUAGUAUUAGUUACUGAGUAUCAGCCAAAGACUUUCUCAUGAAUACCCUGAGUGUAUUCUUAGAGAUGAGUUACAAGCAAGGCACAGAUGUGAACGAAACAGAAACGAUUUCUGUAAACUCCAGGUACCUAAUCUUUGAAGUCACAUAGAAACGUUCGGAGACUUCCUACAACUGUGAAAUGUUACAUGGCACGCUCAUUUGUCACGAGGAUUAAAUAAACAAAGGUGCUAAAGUGCCUUUCAGGAAGUAGAACGCAGUAGUCACUCAGCGCAUCUGAGUUUGGCUCCCUCCCUCCCUUCUUCUCUGCUGACUGGUUCAACCGAACCACCCCACCCGUCUGUUCUCACCAAGACAGUGUUGCCUUUGGAGAUGCUUCCAAGACCUCUGAUUCUUCCUUCUGAGUGUGCACUGAGAGCCUGACCAAAUCCGAGCCCCCAGCACUCCUGAGAUGCAAGAGUACUCUAGAAGGUGGGGAGUAGAGGUUUUUCUCUCAGCCUGAAGGAACCCAGAAACACAACAGGAAAGAGCAUACCACAAAGAGACCAAAGAUCCUAAUCUAAUGAGGCCCUCACUGGAAAACUUCCUUUCCCUUUGUAUGUGGUGAUUUCCCUGUAUUCGACUGGGCUCAGCCAGAUUUGUCUCAUAAAUCAAGACUUGCUGCAAAAUGUAGGUGGAUCUCUGAAAAGCCGACUUGCUGACCUUCUGAUAAAAAUAUGAAUUAAUUAAUCAAAAGCAGCUUUUAAAACCCAAGUGUUGUGCACAGCAAGUAGGCUGUUUUCCUUCUACCACAAAGCAUAAUUAUAGAUAAGUUUUCAGGAGAAGAGGCAAGACUGUCAUUUUUUUACCUUCAAAAACAGUAGAAAAUUCACUUUUUGGUUUCUAAAUUAGAAUCUGUCACUUUGACUGCCUCUGUUUCUUUUGGGUGUACUGCACACGGUAUGUGAUCCAGAAAGUUGAAAGCUUGAAGACCUACUAAAAUGCAGUGGGGGGUUUUCAGAAAAAGAUUACUGAGUGACAAUAUGAUAGCCUUCAGGCUUGCUGCUAGAAAUUUUUAUUUAACUUAUUUUCUCCCUAAUGUGGUAGUAACAUAUACCUAUUUUCUGAAGAUUGCAGAACACAUCAUCAAAUGACAGUUCAAAAAAACAUUUUAAAGUUUAUUUUCUCCCUUUUUAUGUAACUUAGUUGAGAGCCAGGAAACAGCACUAAAAGAUGUGUUUCUCUCACCAUGUUGCCCUGCUCACACAGUUUGAAAGGGUCACCAUGAAAUUGCCAGUUCUUGAGUCUGAAGAAAGAACAUCCACAAAUGUUUGAGCUCUGGUUUUAGAGAGGACCUGAGGUUAUUUGUAGAAAUGAGUGGGUCAGGCAAUGGGGAAAAGCCCAUAGAAAGUGUCUCUGUCACACAGAGACAGCACUUCCUUCUCCGACUGCCGGGGGACAAAGUCCUGAGCCAUGCAGGACAGUUCUCCACUCCCUCUGGGUACCAUCCCCCGGUGGCAGUGUCUGAGAACGUGUUCGUUCACUCAGCCUCCAUCUCUAUAGCAGUCUUUGCCUCCCUUGUCUGCAAAUAUGAGUUCCUGUUUUGGAGAGUCCAAACAAAAUUAUAAUCUAGUCUUCGAUGGCUCAAAAAAUACCCUCCACUAAAAAUAUAUCUUGAAGCUUCCACUCCUGCCCAAAACUCAGAGAACGUGCAUUUAGUCAAUGCCGUUUUAUUUCCUAUUGAAAUCUAUCAACUUCCAGGAAAAAAAGGAAGAGGGGAGAGGAGGAAAUGAAAAUGUUUAUUGCAACACAUAUAAGGGUUGAGUAGCCCAGGAAAGAACCUCCCAGGUUUGACUUGGGAGGUCUCUCCUUUCUGGGCAUGUCUGCUUAGAAGGAUAGCAAAUCCAGAAGGAUUCGUGGGGUACCGAGAUUCACAGAGUAUUCUGGGAUUCUGUGGCAAGCUAACCCAGACCUUUACAUCUGGGGAACUUUUUUCAGAUUCCAUAUUAGAUUUCUCAUGCCAUUCAAAUCCUUCAAGUCAUGCAUUCAUUUAUUCAACAAUGAUGCCUUGAGCCUCUACAGAUGUUGGGAGAGAACCUGCCAACAUAUGGAGAGAAUGGGCUCCAGGGGAGAGACCAGGACAGAGCCCUGAGCUAGGAGGGUGCUGGGCUGAUUCCAGAAAGAGCAGAAAGGGCAACAAGACUACAGUCUUGAGUGAGGGUGGUAGUAGCAGCAGAUGGGGCCAUAAAGGAAGCAGGGACCAAAUGAUCUUGGAGCCUGGAUGCCACUGUUAGGAUGUCAGCAAUUACCUUGAAUGAAUCAGGAAGCCCUGCAGACCCACUGAGGGGAAGAGACUGUAGGGGCUCAAAAGCAAAAAUGGGGAGUCCAGUUAGGAGGCCACCGCACUGAUUUCAACAGGGUGACAAGAUCUUGUACCAAGUUGGAUGAGGUAGAGAUGGUAUAAAUUAAUCAACCUGCAUGUAGUCUGAAGACGAACUGACAGGAUUCAUUAAAGGACUGGCUUUGAUAUGUAAGAAAAGGACAGGAGGUCAAGGUUGUCUCCAAUGACUUUGGUCUAUGCAACGGGAGGCAUGGAACUUCCACAUGGGGAAGCUGAUGGGAUGAAGAGGUUUGGGGACAUGUUCGGUUUUGGCAUGUCAGUCUUGGGCAGGUUAUGUUCAAGAGCUGCUAAAUGUCUCGGAGGAAAGGUUGAGAAAACAGGUGGAUCUCAAGUUCUAGAGAAAGGCCCAUGUUGGAGAUAAAUUUGGGAGUUCAUUGGUGUUCCCCUGGUAUUUAAAGCCAUAACCCUGAACCAGAUAACCCAAAUGGUGGGCCCAGAUAGAAAAGAGGUUCAAGCAUUUCUGAAGCACUUAAUGUGAAAAAUUCCUAUAAAAGAAAAAAAAAAAUCAGCCAAGGAGACUGAGAUGAGGUCAAGGAGGAGGGAAGGGAGAAGCACCCAGAAGCUGAAGUAAAUCUAUACUUCCAGGAAGGAGUGAUCAACAGUGCCAACUAGUUUUGACAGAUCAAGUAAGAGGGGAGCUGAGAAUAAACAUUGGAGCUAGCAUGUGGAUGGAAGCAGUGCCCUUGACAAGAGCUUCUGAGGGGCGGUGGUAAGGGGUUGCAGGAUUAAAGUGGAUACCAAU